rnacentral:misc_RNA from 1 species
GAUGAAGAACGUAGCGAAAUGCGAUACUUGGUGUGAAUUGCAGAAUCCCGUGAACCAUCGAGUCUUUGAACGCAAGUUGCGCCCGAAGCCAUUAGGCCGAGGGCACGCCUGCCUGGGCGUCACACGUCGUUGCCCCCCCAUCUACUCCUUCGGGAUUGCGGGGGGCGGAUGAUGGCCUCCCGUGCGCCUCGCCGCGCGGUUGGCAUAAAUGCCAAGUCCUCGGCGACGCACGCCACGACAAUCGGUGGUUGCGAAACCUCGGUUGCCCGUCGGGUGCGGUCGUCGCGCAUCGAGGGCUCGAAAAAAUUGCCGGGUUCCGGCUCGGCUUUCAACGCGACCCCAGGUCAGGCGGGGUUACCCGCUGAAUUUAAGCAUAUCAAUAAGCGGAGGA